rnacentral:rRNA from 1 species
UACGGAGGGUGCAAGCGUUGUUCGGAAUCAUUGGGCGUAAAGCGCGUGUAGGCGGCUUGGCAAGUCGGUUGUGAAAGCCCGGGGCCCAACCCCGGAAUUGCAUCUGAAACUGCCUCGCUAGAGUCCCGGAGAGGAAGGCAGAAUUCCCGGUGUAGGGGUGAAAUCCGUAGAUAUCGGGAGGAAUACCAGCGGCGAAGGCGGCCUUCUGGACGGUGACUGACGCUGAGACGCGAAAGCGUGGGGAGCGAACAGG